GUGCUUGCUUCAGCAGCACAUAUACUAAAAUUGGACCGAUAUAGAGAAGAUUAGUAUGUCUCCUGAGCAAGGAUGACACGCAAAUUCGUAAAAUGUUCCCUAUUUAA